rnacentral:rRNA from 1 species
UACAGAGGGGGCAAGCGUUGUUCGGAAUUACUGGGCGUAAAGGGCGCGUAGGCGGCCUGUUAAGUCGGACGUGAAAUCCCCUCGGCUCAACCGGGGAACUGCGUCCGAUACUGGCGGGCUUGAAUUCGGGAGAGGGAUGUGGAAUUCCAGGUGAUAGCGGUGAAAUGCGUGAGAUAUCUGGAGGAACACCGGUGGCGAAGGCGGCAUCCGUGGACCGACAUGACGCUGAGGCGC